ACCUACCACCACAUCACACUAAAUGCACCUCAUCUUAUCAGAUUCUCCGACGCUGAGUGGGUUUAAGCCCGGUUAGUACUUGCAUGGGAGGCUGUCUAGGAAUAGCAGGUGCUGAAAACU
rnacentral:rRNA from 1 species